rnacentral:rRNA from 1 species
GAUGAACGCUGGCGGCGUGCCUAAUACAUGCAAGUCGAGCGAACAGACGAGGAGCUUGCUCCUCUGACGUUAGCGGCGGACGGGUGAGUAACACGUGGAUAACCUACCUAUAAGACUGGGAUAACUUCGGGAAACCGGAGCUAAUACCGGCUCAUAUAUUGAACCGCAUGGUUCAAUAGUGAAAGACGGUUUUGCUGUCACUUAUAGAUGGAUCCGCGUCGCAUUAGCUAGUUGGUAAGGUAACGGCUUACCAAGGCGACGAUGCGUAGCUGACCUGAGAGGAUGAUCGGCCACACUGGAACUGAGACACGGUCCAGACUCCUACGGGAGGCAGCAGUGGGGAAUCUUCCGCAAUGGGCGAAAGCCUGACCGAGCAACGCCGCGUGAGUGGUGAAGGUCUUCGGGUCGUAAAACUCUGUUAUUAGGAAAGAACAAAUGUGUAAGUAACUAUGCACGUCUUGACGGUACCUAAACAGAAAGCAACGGCUAACUACGU